GACGAACGCUGGCGGCGUGCUUAACACAUGCAAGUCGAACGGAAAGGCCCUGCUUUUGUGGGGUGCUCGAGUGGCGAACGGGUGAGUAACACGUGAGUAACCUGCCCUUGACUUUGGGAUAACUUCAGGAAACUGGGGCUAAUACCGGAUAGGAGCUCCUGCUGCAUGGUGGGGGUUGGAAAGUUUCGGCGGUUGGGGAUGGACUCGCGGCUUAUCAGCUUGUUGGUGGGGUAGUGGCUUACCAAGGCUUUGACGGGUAGCCGGCCUGAGAGGGUGACCGGCCACAUUGGGACUGAGAUACGGCCCAGACUCAUACGGGAGGCAGCAGUGGGGAAUAGUGCACAAUGGGCGGAAGCCUGAUGCAGCAACGCCGCGUGCGGGAUGACGGCCUUCGGGUUGUAAACCGCUUUCGCCUGUGACGAAGCGUGAGUGACGGUAAUGGGUAAAGAAGCACCGGCUAACUACGUG
rnacentral:rRNA from 1 species